CAGGUCACUCCUACGGGAGGCAGCAGUGGGGAAUCUUGCACAAUGGGCGAAAGCCUGAUGCAGCGACGCCGCGUGGGGGAUGAAGCAUUUCGGUGUGUAAAACCCUUUCGACGGGGACGAAACCGCAAGGUUGACGGUACCCGUAGAAGAAGCCCCGGCUAACUCCGUGCCAGCAGCCGCGGUAAUACGGGGGGGGGUAAGCGUUGUUCGGAAUUACUGGGCGUAAAGGGCUCGUAGGUGGCCAACUAAGUCAGACGUGAAAUCCCUCGGCUUAACCGGGGAACUGCGUUUGAAACUACAAGGCUAGAGUAUGGCAGAGGGGGGUAGAAUUCCACGUGUAGCAGUGAAAUGCGUAGAGAUGUGGAGGAAUACCAAUGGCGAAGGCAGCCCCCUGGGUCAAUACUGACGCUCAUGCACGAAAGCGUGGGUAGCAAACAGGAUUAGAUACCCUGGUAGUCCACGCCCUAAACGAUGCAUAUUUGGUGUAGGUCAUUCAGUUGAUCUGUGCCGGAGCUAACGCGUUAAAUAUGCCGCCUGGGGAGUACAGUCGCAAGGCUGAAACUUAAAGGAAUUGACG
rnacentral:rRNA from 1 species